GAUGAACGCUGGCGGCGUGCCUAAUACAUGCAAGUCGAGCGAACAGACGAGGAGCUUGCUCCUUUGACGUUAGCGGCGGACGGGUGAGUAACACGUAGGUAACCUACCUAUAAGACUGGGAUAACUUCGGGAAACCGGAGCUAAUACCGGAUAAUAUUUCGAACCGCAUGGUUCGAUAGUGAAAGAUGGCUUUGCUAUCACUUAUAGAUGGACCUGCGCCGUAUUAGCUAGUUGGUAAGGUAACGGCUUACCAAGGCAACGAUACGUAGCCGACCUGAGAGGGUGAUCGGCCACACGGGAACUGAGACACGGUCCAGACUCCUACGGGAGGCAGCAGUAGGGAAUCUUCCGCAAUGGGCGAAAGCCUGACGGAGCAACGCCGCGUGAGUGAUGAAGGUCUUCGGAUCGUAAAACUCUGUUAUUAGGGAAGAACAAACGUGUAAGUAACUGUGCACGUCUUGACGGUACCUAAUCAGAAAGCCACGGCGAACUACGU
rnacentral:rRNA from 1 species